rnacentral:rRNA from 1 species
GUAAAAAGUCGUAACAAGGUUUCCGUAGGUGAACCUGCGGAAGGAUC